UACGUAGGGGGCAAGCGUUGUCCGGAUUUAUUGGGCGUAAAGAGCGUGUAGGCGGCUUUACAGGUCCGUUGUGAAAACUCGAGGCUCAACCUCGAGACGCCGGUGGAAACCGUAAGGCUAGAGUCCGGAAGAGGAGAGUGGAAUUCCUGGUGUAGCGGUGAAAUGCGCAGAUAUCAGGAAGAACACCCGUGGCGAAGGCGGCUCUCUGGGACGGUACUGACGCUGAGACGCGAAAGCUAGGGGAGCGAACGGG
rnacentral:rRNA from 1 species